rnacentral:lncRNA from 1 species
AAUCGUGGGAGACCUCGGAGACAAACUAGCGUACCUGGAUGUGGAACAGGGGGACGUUAUAAUCAGGCCGAUCAUUAGUUUAUUGUCAGUUCAAUGUAACCAAUUAUUACAUUAUCAAUAAAUUUAUUUUUUUCCAUUACUAUUUUUUAUUUAUUAAAUAAAUAAAAUUAAAAUUAAAAAAAAUUAAAAAAAUUAAAAAAAUUCAA